CUGGUUGAUCCUGCCGGAGGUCACUGCUAUCUGAAUUCGACUAAGCCAUGCCAGUCUGACCGAAAGGUCGGCGACCAACUCAGUAACACGUAGUUAAUCUGCCCUUAAGUCUGGAAUAACCCCGGGAAACUGGGAAUAAUACCGGAUAGAUAAGAGUUCUUGGAAUAGUUCUUAUCUAAAGCUUCGGCGCUUAAGGAUGAGACUGCGGCUGAUUAGGUUUUUAUGAGAGUAAAGUCCUCAUAAGCCUAUAAUCAGUACGGGCCUUGAGAGAGGAAGCCCGGAGAUGCAUUCUGAGACAAGAAUGCAGGCCUUACGAGGCGCAGCAGGCGCGAAAAUUUCACAAUGCACGCAAGUGUGAUGAAGGGAUUCAGAGUGCUUUCUCCAUACUGGAGGGAGCUUUUACCAAGUUUAAAAUGCUUGGAGAAUAAGUGGUGGGCAAGACGGGUGCCAGCCGCCAUGUCUUUAACGGGAAACUGUUAUCGACACGGUAAGCGGUAAUACCCGCGCCACGAGUGGUGACCGUUUUUAUUGGGUUUAAAGCAUUCGUAGCCGGUUCGGUUAGUUCCUAAUGAAAUCCGGCAGAUGACUGUCGGGCUUGUUGGGGAUACUGCUGGACUAGGGACCGGGAGAGGCCAAGGGUAUUCUUGGGGUAGGGGUAAAAAGAGAUUGACAGCUUAUAUGGAUUUAAGCAAGCUGUCUUUCCUUUACGAUCCUGUAAUCCUAAGAGGACCACCUGUGGCGAAGGCGCUUGGCUAGAACGGAUCCGACGGUGAGGGAUGAAAGCCAGGGUAGCGAAGCGGAUUAGAUACCCAUGUAGUCCUGGCCGUAAACGAUGCCCAUUAGACAUUGGCGUUCUUAAGGGGGAUGCCAGAGUCGUAGGGAAACCGUUAAAUGGGCCACCUGGGGAGUACGUUCGCAAGGAUGAAACUUAAGGGAAAGAAGAGAAAUGCAGUAAUUUACUGAGUCUCUUCAUCCUAGCGAAUACCGAGUAGGAUAAUAAUAUUGGAAUUGUGAGACAAUGCAUUGUUAGUAGAUGUAUUUCUCUUCCCCGAAUUGGCGGGGGAGCACACAAGGGGUGGAGGCUGCGGUUUAAUUCGAUUCAACGCGAGGAACCUCACCAGGGGCGAGAGCAGGAUGAAGGUCAGGCUGAAGGUCUUACCAAACACGCUCAGCGGUGGUGCAUGGCCGUCGUCAGUUCGUGUCGUGAGAUGUCCUGUUAAGUCAGGUAACGAACAAGACCCGCGCCCUAUGUUACUAUCGUUCCUUUCCGGGAGCGAGUACUCAUAGGGGACCGCUGUUGAUAAAACAGAUGAAGGUGCGGUCGACGGCAGGUCCGUAUGCUCCUAAUCUCCUGGGUUACACGCGGCCUACAAUGACCGGGAUAAUGGGAUGCCACUCCGAAAGGAAGAGCUAAUCCUUAAACCCGGUCUCAGUUCAGAUUGAGGGCUGCAACCCGCCCUCAUGAAGCCGAAAUCCCUAGUAGUCGCUGGUCAUCAGAGAUAAGACUGUUUUUGGAAACAAUAUGGUCUGGUCUGUGAACUCUAGCGGCGAAUAUGUUCCUGCUCCUUGCACA
rnacentral:rRNA from 1 species